rnacentral:rRNA from 1 species
GAGUUUGAUCCUGGCUCAGAUUGAACGCUGGCGGCAGGCUUAACAUAUGCAAGUCGAGCGGGGGAGAUUGCUUCGGUAAUUGACCUAGCGGCGAACGGGUGAGUAAUACUUAGGAAUCUGCCUAUUAAUGGGGGACAACAUCUCGAAAGGGAUGCUAAUACCGCAUACGCCCUACGGGGAAAGCAGGGGAUCACUUGUGACCUUGCGUUAAUAGAUGAGCCUAAGUCGGAUUAGCUAGUUGGUGGGUAAAGGCCUACCAAGGCGACGAUCUGUAGCGGGUCUGAGAGGAUGAUCCGCCACACUGGGACUGAGACACGGCCCAGACUCCUACGGGAGGCAGCAGGUGGGGAAUAUUGGACAAGUGGGGGAACCCUGAUCCAGCCAUGCCGCGUGUGUGAAGAAGGCCUUAUGGUUGUAAAGCACUUUAAGCGAGGAGGAGCUCCUGUAGUUAAUACCUACGAGAGAGU